rnacentral:rRNA from 1 species
CCUACGGGAGGCAGCAGUGAGGAAUAGUGGGCAAUGGGCGGGAGCCGGAACCAGCCAAGCCGCGUGAGGGAAGAAGGUACAGCGGAGAGUAAACCUCUUUUGUCAGGGAACAAAGGCGGGGACGAGUCCCCGGAUGAGGGUACCUUAAGAAAAAGCAUCGGCUAACUCCGUGCCAUCAGCCGCGGUAAUACGGAGGAUGCGAGCGUUAUCCGGAUUUAUGGGGUUAAAAGGGUGCGCAGGGGGCCGGUUAAGUCGGCGGUAAAAGCCAGGGGCUCAACCCCGGCGAGCCGUUGAAACUGGGGGGCUGGAGUUGGGGAGAGGUACGCGGAAUGCGCGGUGUAGCGGUGAAAUGCUUAGAUAUCGCGCAGAACCCCGAUUGCGAAGGCAGCGUACCGGCUCCAAACUGACGCUGAGGCACGAAAGCGUGGGUAUCGAACAGGAUUAGAUACCCCAGUAGUC